rnacentral:tRNA from 1 species
UUCCGCCUUAGCUCAGUUGGUAGAGCAAAUGACUGUUAAUCAUUGGGUCGCUGGUUCGAGCCCAGCAGGCGGAGCCAA